rnacentral:misc_RNA from 1 species
UGGGGCAAGUGCACUUUGCAUUGAUUUUGUUAGGAAUUGCUCCAUUUUUUAUCAACACUUCUCGACUUGGUAGAGAAGAGGAAGACGUUCAUCUAUAGAAGGAGGGUUAACAAGCUAUUCCCAACUUCCAUAAGUUAUUGCUCUAACUUUUUAUUUAAUGACUAUGAGUCACAAGUUGGAAUCUCACACCAUUAAAAUCCAAGGAACCCGCCUCAUUGAAAACACAAAUUUCAGUCUUUAGGAGUUGUUUUUGCAAAAAACAGAUGUCAAAUCUAAAUUAGCACGUUGAAAUAGCAAACAAGAGUUCUGUUCCACUGACGUGUCAGUUGGUAUGGCGCAUAAUGUUAACAUGGCCAGUGGUGUGGCACAUGUUACUGGGCUGCUGCGUAAUAUGGUUGUUGACUUGACGAAGUAGGAGUGAAAUCUGAUGCGGACAAGAGCAGUAGAGAACAAGUGAGCUGUAUUGUGUUCUGCAGGUUACGAAGUAGAUUUGACCUGAUCUAGUUGGGCCAUGGUGCAGGCAUGUCAGAACUCCAUUUUGACGACUUGGGCAAGGUUGUCAGCAUGCAGUGAUGCUCUAUGAAGUGUUGCAACACUAGAAAAUGGCUGGAUAUGAUGGGUUUUAGUUGAGUUGCUUAUUCGGGUCAGAAAUCAACUCAAACAAAUCUCUUCUUUAGGGAAGCUUUUGGUGGUCAGAGUUGUAUCGUUGGAGUCACCUCUUUUUCGCAAUGAACCCAGUAAUAUUGGGCUCUAUAUGAGAGACUUAAUAAUGAGGAUGUGAUGGGUUUUUGGCUUUUUGUUCUUUUUGUAUUUUUAAGCUAAGGAAAAUUUCUAAGGCAAAAGCACAAGUUAGAUGU